CGGGAUAUGGUGUAAGGGUUAGCGUACCGGCGUUGGAGACCGGAUGACAUGGUUCGAGUCCAUGUAUCCCGAC
rnacentral:tRNA from 1 species